UACGUAGGGGGCUAGCGUUGUCCGGAAUCAUUGGGCGUAAAGAGCUCGUAGGCGGUCUGUUGCGUCCGCUGUGAAAACCCGGGGCUUAACCCUGGGCUGGCAGUGGAUACGGACAGACUAGAGGUAGGUAGGGGAGAAUGGAAUUCCCGGUGUAGCGGUGAAAUGCGCAGAUAUCGGGAGGAACACCGGUGGCGAAGACGGUUCUCUGGGCCUUACCUGACGCUGAGGAGCGAAAGCGUGGGGAGCGAACAGG
rnacentral:rRNA from 1 species